GAUGAAGAACGUAGCGAAAUGCGAUAAGUAAUGUGAAUUGCAGAAUUCAGUGAAUCAUCGAAUCUUUGAACGCACAUUGCGCCCGCCAGUAUUCUGGCGGGCAUGCCUGUUCGAGCGUCAUUUCAACCAUCAAGCCCCCGGGCUUGUGUUGGGGACCUGCGGCUGCCGCAGGCCCUGAAAAGCAGUGGCGGGCUCGCUGUCACACCGAGCGUAGUAGAUUUUAUCUCGCUCAGGGCGUGCUGUGGGUUCCGGCCGUUAAACCACCCUUUUAACCCAAGGUUGACCUCGGAUCAGGUAGGAAGACCCGCUGAACUUAAGCAUAUCAAUAAGCGGAGGA
rnacentral:misc_RNA from 1 species